rnacentral:lncRNA from 10 species
CAAGAACCCCAGGUCAGAGAACACGAGGCUUGCCACCAUCUUGGAAGCAGCCCGCCGCCAUUUUGGAAGUGGCCCACCACCAUCUUGGGAGCUCUGGGAGCAAGGACCACCUGGUAACAAUAGGCCAAAUACUGUGCUGAUAAGCUUGAAAGCCUGCCCUGAAUCCUCAUCUAUUGAUGGAGAUGGUGUCAUCUUGCCUUGAUUGUAUCCAGAAGCUUCAUCCCCAAGAUAAAGGAUGGACAUCUCUCCGAUGACCAGCUUCUUUUGCUCGACUCUAGAGAAGGUUGCUUUCUGCAUUCUGGCAACUGCCCUCUGUCUACAUGAUUAGACUCGUUGGUUGCAGUGCUUUCUGGAGUAAUGAAGGGAUCCAGUGCACAGGGUUUAACUUACUGGGCACAAUCUCUAAGCCAACUCUGCCUGAAUGGGUCCCCUGUUUUUUCUCUUCUGCUCUUGUUGAACCAUAUCUCUGUUCCUUGUGCUCCUGGGAAUUUCUUGCUCUGGUAAGGUAAAUAAGAACAUGCUAACC